rnacentral:rRNA from 1 species
GUUACUGCUAUCGGAGUUCGAUUAAGCCAUGCGAGUCUAAAGGUUUCUUCGGAAGCCUUGGCGGACUGCUCAGUAACACGUGGAUAACCUGUCCUUAGGUCUGGCAUAACCCCGGGAAACUGGGGAUAAUACCGGAUAGAUCAGGGGUCGCUGGAAUGCGCCCUGAUCCAAAGCUCCGGCGCCUAAGGAUGGGUCUGCGACCUAUCAGGUUGUAGUGGGUGUAAUGUACCUACUAGCCGACGACGGGUACGGGUUGUGAGAGCAAGAGCCCGGAGAUGGAUUCUGAGACACGAAUCCAGGCCCUACGGGGUGCAGCAGGCGCGAAACCUUUACAAUGUGCGAAAGCAUGAUAAGGGAACUCCGAGUGCCAGCAUUAAAUGUUGGCUGUCCUUGUGCCUAAAACGCACAAGAUAGCAAGGGCCGGGUAAGACCGGUGCCAGCCGCCGCGGUAACACCGGCGGCCCGAGUGGUAGCCGCUAUUAUUGGGUCUAAAGGGUCCGUAGCCGGUUUGAUAAGUCCUCUGGGAAAUCUGAUUGCUCAACAAUCAGGCUGCCAAGGGAUACUGCCAAACUUGAGGCCGGGAGAGGUAAGAGGUACUUCAGGGGUAGGAGUGAAAUCUUAUAAUCCUUGGGGGACCGUCUGUGGCGAAGGCGUCUUACCAGAACGGGUCUGACGGUGAGGGACGAAAGCUGGGGGCGCGAACCGGAUUAGAUACCCGGGUAGUCCCAGCCGUAAACGAUGCUCGCUAUGUGUCAGAUACGGUGCGACCGUAUCUGGUGCCGUAGGGAAGCCGUGAAGCGAGCCACCUGGGAAGUACGGCCGCAAGGCUGAAACUUAAAGGAAUUGGCGGGGGAGCACUACAACGGGUGGAGCCUGCGGUUU